GAAUCAACGCUGGCGGCGUGCCUAACACAUGCAAGUCGAACGCGGUUACCCCGCAAGGGUGACUGAGUGGCGAACGGGUGAGUAACACGUGGGUGACCUACCUUCGAGUGGGGAGUAACGUCCCGAAAGGGACGCUAAUACCGCAUAACAUCCUGCCUUUGUAACAGGUGGUGAUCAAAGCCGGGGACCGGCAAGGCCCGGCGCUUGAUGAGGGGCCCGCGUCCGAUUAGCUAGUUGGUGAGGUAACGGCUCACCAAGGCAACGAUCGGUAGCCGGCCUGAGAGGGCGGACGGCCACACUGGGACUGAGACACGGCCCAGACUCCUACGGGAGGCAGCAGUGGGGAAUUGUUCGCAAUGGGCGCAAGCCUGAGACGCAACGCCGCGUGGAGGAUGAAGGU
rnacentral:rRNA from 1 species